GACGAACGCUGGCGGCGUGCUUAACACAUGCCAGUCGAACGGAAAGGCCAUGCUUUUGUGGGGUUCUCGAGUGGCGCACGGGUGAGUAACACGUGAGUAACCUGCCCUUGUCUUUGGGAUAACUUCAGGAAACUGGGGCUAAUACCGGAUAGGAGCUCCUGCUGCAUGGGGGGGGUUGGAAAGUUACGGCGGUUGGGGAUGGACUAGCGGCUUAUGGGCUUGUUGGUGGGGUAGUGGAGUACCAAGGCUUUGACGGGUAGCCGGCAUGAGAGGGGGACCGGCGACAAUGGUACUGAGAGACGGAGCAGACGGGAACGGGAGGCAGCAGUGGGGAAUAUUGCACAGUGAGCGGAAGCGUGAUGCAGCGACCCCGCGAUCGGGAAGACGGCCUACGAGUUGUGAACCGAUUUCGACGUAAACGAAGAGUGAGUGACGGUAACGGGUAAAGAAGCAACGGCUAACUACGUG
rnacentral:rRNA from 1 species